GAGUUUGUCUUGGCUCAGGAUGAACGCUGGCGGCGUGCUUAACACAUGCAAGUCGAACGGGAAACCUUUUAUUGAAGCUUCGGCAGAUCUAGCUGGUUUCUAGUGGCGGACGGGUGAGUAACGCGUGGGUAACCUGCCUUAUACAGGGGGAUAACAACCAGAAAUGGCUGCUAAUACCGCAUAAGCGCACAGUACCGCAUGGUACGGUGUGAAAAACCCAGGUGGUGUGAGAUGGAUCCGCGUCUGAUUAGCCAGUUGGCGGGUAACGGCCCACCAAAGCGACGAUCAGUAGCCGACCUGAGAGGGUGACCGGCCACAUUGGGACUGAGACACGGCCCAAACUCCUACGGGAGGCAGCAGUGGGGAAUAUUGCACAAUGGGCGGAAGCCUGAUGCAGCGACGCCGCGUGAGUGAAGAAGUAUCUCGGUAUGUAAAAGCUCUAUCAGCAGGGAAGAAAAUGACGGUACCUGACUAAGAAGCCCCGGCUAACUACGUGCCAGCCGCCGCU
rnacentral:rRNA from 1 species